CGGCGGCGGCGGCGGCGACGGAGGGAGCCUUGGGGAGGUGGCUCCUUCCUGGAGGGGGCGCCCACUCUCCUGAGAUCGCUCUUGACCUGACCCGAAUCCUUUUCUCUUUUUGCCUCUUAGCCCGGGAAGUGGCACCUCUCUAUUCUACUCCAAGAGGAUGCCCGUCGCUCGAGGCGCCCCAAGCUCCGAGUGGUCGUCACCUUGCACAUUCCUAACCUUACCGAGACCCUGAUCCCAGGGAACCUCAGACCCUUUUACCCAAGAUAUUUUUUCCUUUCAUCCUACUCCAGGAGUUCCCCGUUUAAACUUCCUGAGUUUCUCUCACCCCUAACGCCUUGUCCCAGCACUCCUUAUCCGAGGAGUUCCCUAGUCGCCACCUUCCGGGCCAACCCCUUUCCUCCAACUGCUUCCUCUGAAGGCCUCGCCAUCGCCUCUUAAAUACUUUGUGCUCCUUGAGACCCCGAAUCUUCGCUGGGCAGGGGACGCUCUCUUUUCCUUUGAGUGGCCUAGGGGAGAGGUCUUACACAUAGAUGUGAUCAAAUACGUACUGUAAUAGAAUCUACUUGGCUCAGUACUCAGCUUCCUACCAUCCCAUUUUGCACAUGCCUUCAGAUAUCUGGAGAGCCAAGACCAGUAUUAACCAGCAGAGGGCAACCAACAACUGUUGUCAAGGGAAAGUUCCAAGGUUUACAAAAUGGACGAUCUGGACUGAGAAGGAGAAACGGGCAGAGCCAAUAUCUGAUCCUCUUCAGAACUCCGCUCCAAUGAUUCUUCUGAGAAGCGUUCCCUCCUGUGUCCUGUUAGGUUCUGAAGAUUGGGGUUCACACUGCGGAUUGCACGCAUGUAUGCCUUCAGCAGCUGGAUGUCUCGCUUCUGUUGGAG